AUCCUGUGAAUCACUAAACUAAUAUUUAGUUGUAUGACCACAGUUUUUUAAAACUGCUUGACAUCUGUGUGGCAUGGAGUCAACCAACUUGUGGCACCUCUCAGCUGUUAUUCCACUCCAUGAUUCUUUAACAACAUUCCACAAUUCAUUCACAUUUCUUGGUUUUGCUUCAGAAACAGCAUUUUUGAUAUCACCCCACAAGUUCUCAAUUGGAUUAAGGUCUGGAGAUUGGGCUGGCCACUCCAUAACAUUAAUUUUGUUGGUUUGGAACCAAGACUUUGCCCGUUUACUAGUGUGUUUUGGGUCAUUGUCUUGUUGAAACAACCAUUUCAAGGGCAUGUCCUCUUCAGCAUAGGGCAACAUGACCUCUUCAAGUAUUUUAACAUAUGCAAACUGAUCCAUGAUCCCUGGUGUGCGAUAAAUAGGCCCAACACCAUAGUAGGAGAAACAUGCCCAUAUCAUGAUGCUUGCACCUCCAUGCUUCACUGUCUUCACUGUGUACUGUGGCUUGAAUUCAGAGUUUGGGGGUAGUCUCACAAACUGCCUGUGGCCCUUGGACCCAAAAAGAACAAUUUUACUCUCAUCAGUCCACAAAAUGUUCCUCCAUUUCUCUUUAGGCCAGUUGAUGUGUUCUUUGGCAAAUUGUAACCUCUUCUGCACAUGCCUUUUUUUUAACAGAGGGACUUUGCGGGGGAUUCUUGAAAAUAGAUUAGCUUCACACAGACAUCUUCUAACUGUCACAGUACUUACAGGUAACUCCAGACUGUCUUUGAUCAUCCUGGAGGUGAUCAUUGGCUGAGCCUUUGCCAUUCUGGUUAUUCUUCUAUCCAUUUUGAUGGUUGUCUUCCGUUUUCUUCCACGUCUCUCUGGUUUUGCUCUCCAUUUUAAGGCAUUGGAGAUCAUUUUAGCUGAACAGCCUAUCAUUUUUUGCACCUCUUUAUAGGUUUUCCCCUCUCUAAUCAACUUUUUAAUCAAAGUA